UUCUAUUCUCGUGCUUUUUGUGUUGGAAAAACUCUUCCCACCUUAUUAUCCAAUUUAAUCUCUUUCACUAUAAAUAAGUAGUACACCUUGUCGAAAAUAAGUAGUACACAUUGCUCUAAAUUUCCGCUCUACUUUUUCUGAGCCUGCAUUCCAAGAUUAAAUGGAAACUGUUUUGAAGGCAAUCAUUCUGUUUUUAGUUGUUUUUAUGGGUGGCUUAAUUGGCAAUGCACAGCGUUUCCACUGUUGUGAAAAAGGGGAGUUUUGUGAUCUACCUCCGUGUUGUCGUGGUCGUGAAAAAAGAGGUUGUGCCCACCCCCCGUGUUGUGAGUGGAACAAGAAAAUGAAGCCAUAAAACUAGGCUUCUCCUUUACACCGAUUAAUUUAAUAAAAUUGUAACCAAAAACAACAAAUAUUGUAACAAAAAAAUAUAUUUAAUAAGAUUGGUGUUUGUGGCACAUUGACUUGA